rnacentral:rRNA from 1 species
UACGGGGGGGGCAAGCGUUGUUCGGAAUUACUGGGCGUAAAGGGCUCGUAGGUGGCCAACUAAGUCGGACGUGAAAUCCCUCGGCUUAACCGGGGAACUGCAUCCGAUACUGGAUGGCUUGAGUUCGGGAGAGGGAUGCGGAAUUCCAGGUGUAGCGGUGAAAUGCGUAGAUAUCUGGAGGAACACCGGUGGCGAAGGCGGCGUCCUGGACCAACACUGACACUGAAAAGCGAAGGCCAGGGGAGCAAACGGG